UACGUAGGGUCCGAGCGUUGUCCGGAGUUACUGGGCGUAAAGCGCGCGCAGGCGGCGGUGCUGGCCCGGCGUGAAAGCCCCCGGCUCAACCGGGGAGGGUCGUCGGGGACCGCACCGCUUGAGGGCGGUAGGGGCUGGUGGAAUGCCUGGUGUAGUGGUGAAAUGCGUAGAGAUCAGGCGGAACACCCGUGGCGAAGGCGGCCAGCUGGGCCGUCCCUGACGCUGAGGCGCGAAAGCUAGGGGAGCAAACAGG
rnacentral:rRNA from 1 species